rnacentral:misc_RNA from 1 species
GGGUAAAAGUCGUAACAAGGUCUCCGUUGGUGAACCAGCGGAGGGAUCAUUACAGAGUUGCAAAACUCCCAAACCAUUGUGAACGUUACCUAUCCCGUUGCUUCGGCGGGCGGCCCGGGCCCCGCGCCCGGCGCCCCCCGGCCCCCCGUGGGCGCCCGCCGGAGGUAAACCAAACCCUUGAAUUGCAUGGCCUCUCUGAGUCUUCUGUACUGAAUAAGUCAAAACUUUCAACAACGGAUCUCUUGGUUCUG